UGUCGCUAAAUUUUUCAGCUUUAUUAUUUCUUUUAAUUUUAGCCAGCUUUCCCCUUUCUAAGUUUCCCUGGUCUGUCUUUUUUUUUCCUUCUGGUAUUAUUUUUAUUCCCCUCUGCUGUCAGCCAUGUUUUCCCCCACCAUUUCCAGUUCUCUUUUUUGGGGUUUCUUCUUAUAUAAUUCCUUCUUCUUAAUCUUGGGAGCCUUAUCUCUUUUAUUUGUUGUCUCUGGUGUCAAUGUCUCUAUUUUAAAUCCUUUUAUAUCCUUUGGCAAUGGUCCUUGUUCUCCAUAUUCAUCUGGGCUGUUGUUUCCCUCUUCCAACUCAUCAUCUCUGAGCUUUCUUUGUUCUUCUGCAAGCUGCAACACCAUUACUUGUAAAUCAUUUUUUUCUAUUAUAGUCCUUGCCAAAAGUUUCUGUUUCUCACACUUUCUCUUUCUUCUGUUUUCUUGUCAUAGCCAACCUCCAGCAGUCCCAAAAUGUUGUAUUCCUUUAUAUUUUACUAUAGUCCCCUCUUUAAAAAAAAAACUUCCAGGGUUUUUGUUGUAUUAAUAAUCCUUUAUUCCAUUUCUUCUUUCUUUAAAAUAUUUAUGCGACCAGUAAUUUUCCAUAAAAACAUAAAAGAGAAAAAUCUUUAACCAUUAGGUGGUGCUCUAUAUCACUUUCUUUUCAAAGUUUUUUUAAUUCUCUUUUCCGUAGUAUUAAUAUUAAUUUUUAUCCAUUCCAAAUAAGUCCAGCAUUUUCUCCAAUGCCUAAUUAAUGUCCAAUUCUGUAUAUUAGUUCAAAUUUAAUCUGAUUUCAUAUAAUUCUUUUAUUUCCGGUUUUUCCUUUACCUUCCUCUUAUUCUCCGUUCACCGCUACCAUUCUUCCAAGCGAGGACUCUUUCUUUCCGCUUUUGGGGUUUUCAAAAAAAAUAUUCAAAGUCUUUUAUCCAGUUACACGCCGCUCACCACUUCCACUCUCCAGCACAAACUUAGGUCCCAGCAGCUUCCCAUUUUCAGGGCAGCCAUUAAACUACCGCUUCUCCCUGUCUUCUAGCGGAG